GGGGGAGAAGGAUCAGCAGGGAUUUAGGCACCUUCUUCAUAUCCCUUUCAUUCAAGAGAGUUUCCUAGCAUUUUGCAAAAUAUAGUAGUCUCUUGUCGAGAUGGUGUACACCCUCAUUUUGGAUCCUUACAUUCAUUAGUUCAUUGUAGCUUGCUGCCCAGGGGACCAGAACUUCCCAGUGACUGGGAUUCUGGAAGCAUACCUCCUUUUCAAAACCCCCACUUUCCACUGGACACUUGAGUUUGUUUAGCAUGGAAGCACCAGAGCUCUUCGUCCUGGUUGUGUCUGCGCUGGGCAGGUGGGCAGGCAGCUGGUGUGUUAACUAUAGUCUGGGGUAUGAAUGAUGGCCCCUUACAAGAGAAAACACUGCUGACAUCCAAGGCCUCAUCAUCUCUCUCCACACUCGUACUGUCUCCCCCACUUCCCUCCCCUCAGGUCUGCCUUCUACCCUGCUACCAGAGUAACUCUGAGAAUUUCAGACUUAGAACCAGCCUUCUCUCCUUAAAACAAAAGAAGUCAAACUCAGGGCUCACUCAAGGACGUACAUUAAGGUGCAUAUGCCUUAGCAACGUGAUCCUCAUCUGUGCUUUCAGCUUCCUUUCUAGCCACUUCCCUAUCUUGUGCUCUAGACUGCACUUUGUCAUUCCCAUAAUAAAAGUCCUGUGGUGCCUUGCUCUAUUCCCUCCAUCUCAAGUGCUGCUCUCCUUUCUUGUGUUAGAGGAGAGCCUGUUUGACUCUCAGACCACACAAAACUCAACUAGUAUGAAUUCGGAGAGGAUGCUUUCAUUUUCAUCUUUGUCUCCCCACUGACUCAGUCUUUCCAAUUAAAACGAACACUCGAGGUUAAUUUCGGUUAAGUCUUUGUUUCACUUGUGGUUUUGUUAAGGUACAGCAGCUCAGUCUCCAUCUCUUCCCCACAAGUUCCUUCCCCAUAAAUUCUGAUACAGGAUUGGCCCCUGUCAUUUUGCAACCCAGUUGUUCAGUAGCUGCAAGAGAAGGGGAUUUCUUUUGUGGUUAAGGAGCCCAUGUACACAUCCUAGUAAAUCUUCACAUCCUGCCUGCACGAAGAGGAUGCACUGAAUGAAGAGGUUGGAAACACCUCGUCUUCACUCUCCCCACCACUCAUUCAGCCGUUGCUUAUUUUGAAGUGUAGUAAAUUGACUGGUAUAUUUAAAAAGUGCUACAUGAAUUGCGUGUAUGUGUUCUGCUGCUGGCAGAAGGGCUGUCCUCGGAGAUGGUACUGGGUGGUGCUGCUUUUCCCAUUUAGACACACCCAGCCUCCCACCUCCCCUUCAAAGCCUAAAAAAUAUAAUUUCAUGACCCCUGGAAAUCUGUUAGAGAUGCAAAUUAGGAAGAUCAACUUUUUAUUUCCUGAAAGAGCUUUAUGAGGGGAGUCCACAAGGUACCAAGAAAAGGGGCUCCUUCUGCUUUGAAAGACUGCCCGCUUAAGUGGCCUUGCUAGAAGAGGGGUGGGGGUGGCAGUUAAGGCAGGGAAGGCCCUGCGGGGGAGCUCAAGGCAGAGGCUAGCAGGUGGCAGGCACCUUCUUCACCUUGUUACUGCAUCUGAAAGGAGUUGACUUUCUUUGGUAGUUUGUAGUUUAUUGUAGUUCUGGAGAGUGUUCUCUAGGUAAGUGGGGAAAGUAAGACAGCACAAGGGGAGGAGUUAUUAUUCCUUGGGUUAUGUUGCUGAUAAGGGCAAAGCUAAGAUUUGCUCUGUUGCACACUGCCUUCUAAUUUAUGCAGACAGGCUAGGUGGAUAUGAAUUCUCAAGUUCAGGAGAAGGGGCUUAUGCCACAGGAGUGAGGUCUCAAGGCUUACAAAUGCUGUGUUGCUAGGUCUUCAUAUGGACCUGGGCCUAAGAGGUUUCCUUUGUGGUUAAUGCUUUUCUUGCUUGCUACUUAAGGAGCAGUGCUAAUGUUGCUGUCAUGUUUGAGUACUAGUAGCUACAAAAGUGAAAUAUUAGGAGUACCUAGAUAAGGCUUGCAGAUCAAGCAAAUGAUAGGGGUUCUCUCCUUCUACCCCAGUUUGUCCACGCCUCCUUGCCUGAAACCCAGGCACUCUGGAAUACAUAAGAAAACAAUCCUUAAUGUAAUCAAAUCAAUGUAUGAAAUACAAAAUCACCACCCCACCACUUCCGACGAAAGUGGUUAUUGCCAGAAGAUUUGCCAACCACUGAAGGUGUCUCUGUGCAGCUGUUUUCAAUAGCAGGUGUCUCUGGUGGAUGUAAAAUACGAUUGCAUUCGCACCCAGCCUUUUAGGGUCACAUUUGGUGUUGAAGGCACAUGAGGGAAAGAGGAGGUAGGGGAGCUCCCAGUGGCACUUCGGGCAGUAUCAAGUGAAGCAUUAGGUUGGGCCUCUGGCUCUGAACACAGUGCUGAGUCCCACGUCUGCCCAUUAGGAUCUGCCUCCUUUUUCUCCCUGCAGCUCCCGUUUCCUGUUCGCUGCACAGCCGGCUCCUUUGCCAAACAUGAAGAGACUAGAUGUCAAAUCCUUUCUCUCUGUCCUGGCAGGAAUGCUGUUCUGUUGGUUUUCCAAGAAGCCUUUUGACACUUGGGGGAUUUUUUUUCUUUUCUCUUAUGGGAAGUUGCUUCAUCAUUUCCCAAAAAUACACCGCACCUCUUGUUUAAACAGGGUGCCCUUGAAGAGCUUUGGAGCCUGGAGGGGGUGGGGAUGUUGUGAAAUCCUUUGUUCGAAGCUUUGAUGCAAGCCAGAAUACUGGCUGUUUGCAGGCAGAAGUCUCGGAGUUUGCCAGGACUGCGUCCAGCAGUGGGGUGUGGGCAGGAGAGACUCUCAUGGAAGCAAGAGCUAGGGUCUUCUAAAGCAAUGAAUCAGUCCGUGUUGUAAGAGGUCUCAGCCCUUCCAGAUACAGCAUCCAUCAGAUGUUUGUCCAGUGCCUUAAACGUGCCCAGGCAGGUAAAGGCAGGUUCUGUGUCCUUUUGGGAUAUUCACAGUACCCUGGAGAGACAGUAUCAACUCACGUGUAGCAACAGACGGUAUGUAACUGUGUGCUAGGUUGUGUGGCCGUGGAUGUUUUAGCCCAGAGGAAGGAAGUUCCUUUAGGAGGGAGCACUGAGAUCAGCCCUGCACAGGAUGUUGGGUUUGAAUUGAUGGAGGGAAAAGUGGAGGAUAGUGAGGAGACGGGAAGUUGAGAAGAACCAGAGGGCUGAUCUGAGGCCAUGGUCAUGGGUGAGUAAGGCCAGCGCAGGUAACCUCGUGGGGCUUGGUAUUGGAGAAAUGGGACGAGAAGUUUGUGGAGAGCCUUGCAUAUCCAGCAGAAACAUUUCUACUUGUAGAAAGAAAUUGGCAGGCUUUCGAAGAUUCUAAGAAGAGACCAUUGGACAAACGUGGGUUUUGUUUUGUUUUUUUGGAAGAUUAGUUUACUAGGGCAAAUUGGAGUAUUCUUCUAGGUGCACAGUGGGAGGGGUUCCCAACUCUAUCCAUAGUUCUGGGAUGAAGUCAUGCAGUUAGGUUCUGGCGGGGAAGGAAUGGCCUGGUGGAAGUCUCUUAUGAGCAUGGUCCCAGGGGCCUGUGCCAAUAGCCCUUUGCAUCUCCCCUAGGAGGGCACAACAACUCUAGCCAUGAGGUCGUUGCUGUCUGAGUAAGUAGGACUAGCUGUUGAGUGCCACCCUGAGUAAAGCUUUUUCCAACCAGGCCCUGUUCGGUGUAGAAGGGAUGUCCCCUGAUAGGCCCUGUGGGACCAGGCAUAAUGUGCUGCAGGUUUCAAGCCUCUGGCAUCAUUGUAGAAUGUGAGUUACCAGGGAUUACUGCUCAGGUCCAGUUGGCGCGAGUCACAUCAUGCCUAACGAGCAGUAAAAGUGCUGUUUCCACAUCCUUUGCCAGUGUUGCGUAUUGUUACCUUCCCCUGGACCUGUACCCCCUUAACAAUGUUAAAUAAGGAAUUUGGGUAACUUUGAAUUAUAAGGACCAGUGAAAACAUGCUCUUCCUAAUAGAGCGUCUAUCUAGUUAGAGUACCUAUCUAGUAGUUGCUCUUAGUGAAAAAUGAAACUAGGGAAAAUAAAUUUUUGUUGAGAGAUUGUAGCAGUUGAGGACAAACAAGCAUAAGCAGGUUAUGCUUAUCACAAGAUCUAUUAAUUUCCAGUGGGAGGGGAAAGUGUGUGGUUGCCAAGGGAGGUACUGCUCAGUUCUCUUAAGUCAGGAAAUGAAUGACAGUUUCAAUAGCAGCUGCUGGGCCUGGGCCGGGCCUGCCACUCCCAGCCAACACAGCCCAAGCUCCCUGGCACAGACCCACAGCAUGGCCAAGGUAGGCAUUGUGGAUGCAGCCCUGGGCGGCAAGCAGUUCCUCUUUGAGGAUCACCCCAGCCUGUUGCCAGACCAGGGUGUAGGCCAGGCAGAGGUUCCACUGCCAGCCUUGGUUCUCUCUGUCUAGGGGUCUGCGUCCCUGGCCCAAGGAGAGGUCCUGGGGGGACACUUGGCUGGAGCCUCGUGUCUUCAGCUGCCACUUCGUAUUACGGUCUUGUAAGACCAGUGCUUUCUUCCUGUUUUUCCCAAGUGCUCUGCUCUGGAUUGCUGGUAGAUAAACUGCUAAACCCAUUCUGAGUAACCACUUUAUUAUAGUUACUGGGAGAGGGUCUCCUUAUGGUUGUGGGAGAGGGUGCUCCCUAAAACAGGGCUUGAUGUUCAGGGGCCCUGCCCCACAUUUGGGGAGGGUCUGGUAGUCUUUAUGUUUGUUUUUCUCUGUCCUUCUGAGAGGUGAGGCUAGAUGGAAAGAUUGAGGGAGACGGGGAAGAGGUGAAAGCAGCAGGCCUGGAGUUCAGAAUCAGUUGCUCUGCAGUUUUGGGGUGCAUGGUUUCAUUUGAUUUUGCAGAAGGGCUGCAGAUACACGUGGGCUAGCCUGAGAGGACAAUACUCACUGGCAUGGAGAUUGUGAGGCACACUGAUUCCAUUACUCACAGGCCAAGUUGCUCCCUGUUGGGGAAGGAACCAUUGUUCUACUAACUUGUUCCACUGCAGGGUCUGGCCAGAGACAUCUGCCAAGAUUGUAAGGCUCCCUGAUUGCAUAUGUGACAAGCAUUUUCUCUCAACAACGCAUGGAGGCUGGGGAAGCCCGGGAUGAGCUGUCAUCCUGAGGAACAGGCUUGGGGCAGGUGCUGAUGAGCGUGACUAAUCCUGGUGCAGCGCAGACCUCCGCCUUGGAUAUGCAGCCCUGGCUUCUUAUAGAAUGCAGGUGUGUGUGUUGCUGGGCCCAGAGAGCCUGAAUCCUAGGCACACUUCUCUUUUGUAUCUGGGCCUACCUAAGAAUUUACUUUCUCUGAGUUCACUGAUAUGAUUGUGGGCCUCUGGGGCCUGGGGAACGAGGAGGCAAAGAAUGCAAAUUUGACACCUUGUGAGAUGAUUCUAAAGCAACACUGAGCCACCAGCUUUUAAACAUUUGUCUUUGGCACUGCCUGUUCUUUGGUCUAUUGGAAGCUGAUACCAGUUGCCUUUGUGUGAUGAAUUUGGACUUUUGUGCAGCAGUUGAGGAAGAAACUCUUGAGCAGCCGCGGGUUGUGGCUACGUGCCCUGAGUGCCGUGCCCUGAGCACGUACCCUGAGUGUGUGUCCUGAGUGCUGUGCCCUGAGCCAGCCCCAGGUGUGCAGCCAUGUAUGCUGGAGCAGGGCCUUGAGUGUUUUGGACCUUUAUUUUGCAAGGGUGAGUUGAAAAUGGAAAAAAGACAUUGCUAAUUGUAGUUAGAAGAAGGGUAGCUCUUCUAACAUUGAUAUAAUUAAGGAAAAGCUUUUAAAAAUUCAGUGGGCAUGCCAGAAGUGGGGAAUUGUUCGUGUCAGGUGAACACUCGCUGACUGAGUCAACAGCCCUGCGUAAUUGUGAAGACGAAUAAACAGAAUUAAAGAAUAAUAUAUAAAACGCCAAACUGUAUUGACCAAGAUCGUAUCUAAAAGGCAGAGUAUAAUUAGGCAUUUUACAAUCUUGUUUGGCUUAGAGGACAUGACUUCCUUAUAAUACAUGUAAACCUAUUAUUUGACUUUGGGGGGCCCUUUUAGGGAAAUCGGGGGACUACCUAUAACCAGCUUCUGGAAUAGCAAAGAGUUAUGCAAAAAUAAAAGCUUCUCUGUAAGUGUGCAAGGCCCUUCCAGAACUGAGAGCCCGUCCUUUAGAAUUCAUUCUGUGUUGACCUACUCUCUGAUGUAUUAAUGCCUUUACCCCUCAUUGUAUUCAUUUAUAUGCUAAUGUCUACCAUCUCUUUUCCAUUUAGAUACAUUAUGAUUUUAAGCUGUCAGGUAGACUUCUGUUUUAAAAGACCUGGCUGCUCAAACAUUGCCAGCCUCCUCUCACUGGAAAAGCCCCAAGUUUAGGGGGCAGGGUGGAGGUAAGAAGAAAACCACCACCAGAAUAAACCAGCUAGCUCCUAGGCUGUGAGCUUUUUCAUAUUCUCCAGUCUCCGCCUCUGUCUUUCCGUGUGGAGUUGCACGUGUGUGCUUGAAGCAGUAUAAGCGACACCCCACCUCAGUGCACUAUAGUAGAAAGAGAAGAACUCUUUAAUUACCGCAGUGUUGCAGGCUUCUCCCACGGCCGGCUGGCCACAGCAUGGAGUUGGAGAGCCAGAUUCCUCCGUGCACGUCAGCCGGAAGAAGGAGAGAUGAGCUGAGCGGCCGGUUGUGACUUUCCUCCACUUAUAAUCCAUCCCUCCUGCCCCCCUCCUUUACCAAAUGAUCCUUUUAUGGGCAAGUCCUUUAUCUCUCAAAUAGUUAGCAUCUCAAUAGUUUCCUAGCAAAGUCAAGGUAAUUUAAAUAAAAUUGAACUUUAUAAUA